rnacentral:rRNA from 1 species
UACAGAGGGGGCAAGCGUUGUUCGGAAUUACUGGGCGUAAAGCGUGUUCAGGCGGCUCAGCAAGUCGGGCAUGAAAUCUCUCGGCUCAACCGGGAGAGGCUGUCCGAUACUGCUGGGCUUGAGGGCAGUAGAGGGUGGUGGAAUUCCGGGUGUAGUGGUGAAAUGCGUAGAUAUCCGGAGGAACACCAGUGGCGAAAGCGGCCACCUGGACUGUACCUGACGCUCAAACACGAAAGCUAGGGGAGCGAACGGG